AUUAAUAAAACACAUAUGCGACGUGCCACUCAGAGCAUUCCGUGGAGAGAAAACGAGUUUCCCCACCAGGUGAAUAAAAUUUCACCCAGAGGCAGGCAACAAACCACCUUCUGGUCUGGGAAUCGUGGGCGCUGCACUUGACAGCCCAGUCGCUGGGCCUCUGCCGCUAAGCCAGCCGCCUGCCCUGAGUCUCCGAAGUUGGAGGAGACCAUUUCAGCUGCUCCCGGCUUGCCUUGCUGUCCCCGCUGGAAUCAGCAGACCCUGACUUUUGGAGAAGCGUUACUGCGAUGUGUCAGCUGCUCCGGGAGAGCCCAGAGUGAUGUAUUCCAAGACCUGUCAGGAGAAAGGGUUUAUGGAGUGACCAUCCUGUGGCUACAACUCUCAAGACUGUUGUUUUAGCAAAACCCUAAUGGAACUGAUGGAUUUUUCUCCCCAGAACAUCCCUGGGAAUCAUUUCUGUCAGAUGCUUCACUAGAUGUCCCUUGGUCUUUAAGCUCAUCUAUCCCCUCCUCCCACCCCGAAAUUGCAAUUUGCUAUUUUAAUUAUAGUUUCUCUUGCCACACUUGAGGCUCUUUUUUUUUUUCCCUCCUAGUGCAGUCCUCUACCUU
ensembl:lncRNA